GACGAACGCUGGCGGCGUGCUUAACACAUGCAAGUCGAACGGAAAGGCCCUGCUUUUGUGGGGUGCUCGAGUGGCGAACGGGUGAGUAACACGUGAGUAACCUGCCCUUGACUUUGGGAUAACUUCAGGAAACUGGGGCUAAUACCGGAUAGGAGCUCCUGCUGCAUGGUGGGGGUUGGAAAGUUUCGGCGGUUGGGGAUGGACUCGCGGCUUAUCAGCUUGUUGGUGGGGUAGUGGCUUACCAAGGCUUUGACGGGUAGCCGGCCUGAGAGGGUGAACGGCCACAUUGGGACUGAGAUACGGCCCAGACGCCUACGGGAGGCAGCAGUGGGGAAUAUUGCACAAUGGGCGGAAGCCUGAUGCAGCAACGCCGCGUGCGGAAUGACGGCCUUCGGGUUGUAAACCGCUUUCGCCUGUGACGAAGCGUGAGUGACGGUAAUGGGUAAAGAAGCACCGGCUAACUACGUG
rnacentral:rRNA from 1 species